CCUACGGGAGGCUGCAGUGAGGAAUAUUGGUCAAUGGACGAGAGUCUGAACCAGCCAAGUAGCGUGAAGGAUGACUGCCCUAUGGGUUGUAAACUUCUUUUAUAUGGGAAUAAAAUGUUCCACGUGUGGGAUUUUGUAUGUACCAUAUGAAUAAGGAUCGGCUAACUCCGUGCCAGCAGCCGCGGUAAUACGGAGGAUCCGAGCGUUAUCCGGAUUUAUUGGGUUUAAAGGGAGCGUAGGUGGAUUGUUAAGUCAGUUGUGAAAGUUUGCGGCUCAACCGUAAAAUUGCAGUUGAAACGGGCAGUCUUGAGUACAGUAGAGGUGGGCGGAAUUCGUGGUGUAGCGGUGAAAUGCUUAGAUAUCACGAAGAACUCCGAUUGUGAAGGCAGUUCACUGGACUGCAACUGACACUGAGGCUCGAAAGUGUGGGUAUCAAACAGGAUUAGAUACCCUUGUAGUC
rnacentral:rRNA from 1 species